UACGUAGGGUGCAAGCGUUUGUCCGGAAUUAUUGGGCGUAAAGAGCUCGUAGGCGGUCUGUUGCGUCGGCUGUGAAAACCCGGGGCUCAACCCCGGGCCUGCAGCCGAUACGGGCAGACUAGAGUUCGGCAGGGGAGACUGGAAUUCCUGGUGUAGCGGUGAAAUGCGCAGAUAUCAGGAGGAACACCGGUGGCGAAGGCGGAUCUCUGGGCCAUUACUGACGCUGAGGAGCGAAAGCGUGGGGAGCGAACAGG
rnacentral:rRNA from 1 species